rnacentral:rRNA from 1 species
UACGUAGGUGACAAGCGUUGUCCGGAUUUACUGGGCGUAAAGAGCGCGCAGGCGGUCGUUCAAGUCGAGUGUGAAAGCCCCCGGCUCAACUGGGGAGGGUCACUCGAUACUGAUCGACUCGAAGGCAGGAGAGGGUAGUGGAAUUCCCGGUGUAGUGGUGAAAUGCGUAGAUAUCGGGACGAACACCUGCGGCGAAGGCGGGUUGCUGGGCUGACACUGACGCUGAAGUGCGAAAGCUAGGGGAGCGAACGGG